rnacentral:rRNA from 1 species
CCUACGGGUGGCAGCAGUGAGGAAUAUUGGUCAAUGGACGCAAGUCUGAACCAGCCAUGCCGCGUGCAGGAAGACGGCUCUAUGAGUUGUAAACUGCUUUUGUACGAGGGUAAAUGCAGAUACGCGUCUCUGUUUGAAUGUAUCUUACGAAUACGGAUCGGCUACAUCCGUGCCAGCAGCCGCGGUAAUACGGGGGAUUCAAGCGUUAUCCGGAUUUAUUGGGUUUAAAGGGUGCGUAGGCGGUCUGAUAAGUUAGAGGUGAAAUCCCGAGGCUCAACUGCGGAAUUGCCUCUGAUACUGUUCGGCUAGAGAGUAGUUGCGGUAGGCGGAAUGUAUGGUGUAGCGGUGAAAUGCUUAGAGAUCAUACAGAACACCGAUUGCGAAGGCAGCUUACCAAACUACGUCUGACGUUGAGGCACGAAAGCGUGGGGAGCAAACAGGAUUAGAUACCCCUGUAGUC